rnacentral:rRNA from 1 species
GAUGAACGCUGGCGGCGUGCCUAACACAUGCAAGUUGAGCGACGAACCAGGGCUUGCCCUGGGGCAAAGCAGCGAACGGGUGAGUAACACGUGGGUAACCUACCCCGAUAACCGGGACAACCCGAGGAAACUCGGGCUAAUACCGGAUGUGCUCACUGGACUUCGGUUCAGUGCGUAAAGGAAGCUUCGGCCUCCGUAUCGGGAGGGGCCCGCGGCCCAUUAGUUUGUUGGUGAGGUAACGGCUCACCAAGACCGCGAUGGGUAGCUGGUCUGAGAGGACGAUCAGCCACACUGGGACUGAGACACGGCCCAGACUCCUACGGGAGGCAGCAGUGGGGAAUCUUGCGCAAUGCGCGAAAGCGUGACGCAGCAACGCCGCGUGGGGGAAGAAGGCCUUCGGGUUGUAAACCCCUUUCAGGAGGGACGAAGGUUCGGCGGUGAAUAGCCGUCCGGACUGACGGUACCUCCACAAGAAGCCCCGGCUAACUACGUG